GAUGAACGCUAGCGGCAGGCUUAACACAUGCAAGUCGAGGGUAACAGAGGUAGCUUGCUACUUGCUGACGACCGGCGCACGGGUGCGUAACGCGUAUAGAACCUACCGUUUACAGAGGGAUAGCCCAGAGAAAUUUGGAUUAAUACCUCAUGGUAUUGUAGACUGGCAUCAGUUUACAGUUAAACAUUUAUGGGUAAAAGAUGGCUAUGCGUUCUAUUAGUUAGUUGGUAAGGUAACGGCUUACCAAGACAUCGAUAGAUAGGGGCCCUGAGAGGGGGAUCCCCCACACUGGUACUGAGACACGGACCAG
rnacentral:rRNA from 1 species